rnacentral:lncRNA from 1 species
ACACUAGACUCUCCGUCAGGUAGUAAUAUCCUUCUCUGAUCUUCUUCCCCUUCAAUAUCACCUUAUCAUCGUGCAUGACCUUUAAGAUUCCAUCACCAGCUACCCCCUGUAGCCGUUUGAAUCCAGUUUGCUCAGUGAGAUAAGAUUCCAUCUGAAUCGGAUAUGUAUCGGAUCUCACUCAAUCUUCUCACUGUACCAUCAUGUAUCCUCUAGUGAACCAUCUUAGUGGCACUGAUCGUACAGCUCGAUCCAUUCGAUAAAUGAAUAGUACCUUACUGCUCUUCAAAGACUCAAAUAGCUCCUCUUUGCAACAAAUAUGUUGGGUGCAUGUAGAAUCUAACAUCCCUCAUCACUGCGGUAGCUCUCGUCAGAUCUCUGAGUUGAGAGCAAUCUUUGACACGAUGCUCCAACUGAUCACACCAGUAGUAUCUGAUCUUACUAGGAUCCCUCAUCUUGGACUUAGAUCAUCCUUCUCACGAUCCUCUCUCGUUUCAUCUGCUACCACCUGCUCCUCCAAAAACUAUCAAAGCUAAGCUG